AUGCCGUGAAGAGGACAUUUCCUAAAAAAAUCAUUCAGUUGUUCCCAUGCCUCAUGUAAUAUCUCCCUAUCCCUAUGUGAAAACUCACAAAUUGAAGUUCGCAU